AACCGUAGGAGUCAAGCGUUAUCCGAAUGUACUGGGCGUAAAGCGCGUGCAGGCGGCAUAGCAAGUUGGAUGUGAAAGCUCCUGGCUCAACUGGGAGAGGACGUACAAAACUGCUAAGCUAGAGGGUGGGAGAGGGAGGUGGAAUUCCCGGUGUAGUGGUGAAAUGCGUAGAUAUCGGGAGGAACACCAGAGGCGAAGGCGGCCUCCUGGCCCGCACCUGACGCUGAGACGCGAAAGCUAGGGGAGCGAACGGGAUUAGAAACCCUAGUAGUCC
rnacentral:rRNA from 1 species